rnacentral:rRNA from 1 species
CUCGGAUUUCCUACCACCCUCAAUGUUCCUGAUCUUGUUGGAUCUCAGAAACUAAGUAGGGGUGGGCUUAGUUUGUAUUUGGAUGGGAGAAAUUGUGUUAUAUUUACCA